rnacentral:rRNA from 1 species
GACGAACGCUGGCGGCGUGCUUAACACAUGCAAGUCGAACGGAAAGGCCCUGCUUUUGUGGGGUGCUCGAGUGGCGAACGGGUGAGUAACACGUGAGUAACCUGCCCUUGACUUUGGGAUAACUUCAGGAAACUGGGGCUAAUACCGGAUAGGAGCUCCUGCUGCAUGGUGAGGGUGGGAAAGUUUCGGCGGUUGGGGAUGGACUCGCGGCUUAUCAGCUUGUUGGUUGGGUAGUGGCUUACCAAGGCUUUGACGGGUAGCCGGCCUGAGAGGGUGACCGGCCACAAUGGGACUGAGAGACGGCCCAGACUCCUACGGGAGGCAGCAGUGGGGAAUAUUGCACAAUGGGCGGAAGCCUGAUGCAGCAACGCCGCGUGCGGGAUGCCGGCCUUCGGGUUGUAAACCGCUUUCGCCUGUGACGAAGCGUGAGUGACGGUAAUGGGUAAAGAAGCACCGGCUAACUACGUG